CCUACGGGUGGCUGCAGUGGGGAAUAUUGGACAAUGGGGGCAACCCUGAUCCAGCCAUGCCGCGUGUGUGAAGAAGGCCCUCGGGUUGUAAAGCACUUUCAGUGAGGAAGAACGCCUGGUGGUUAAUACCCAUCAGGAAAGACAUCACUCACAGAAGAAGCACCGGCUAACUCCGUGCCAGCAGCCGCGGUAAUACGGAGGGUGCGAGCGUUAAUCGGAAUUACUGGGCGUAAAGCGCGCGUAGGUGGCUUGAUAAGCCAGUUGUGAAAGCCCCGGGCUCAACCUGGGAACGGCAUCCGGAACUGUCAAGCUAGAGUGCAGGAGAGGAAGGUAGAAUUCCCGGUGUAGCGGUGAAAUGCGUAGAGAUCGGGAGGAAUACCAGUGGCGAAGGCGGCCUUCUGGACUGACACUGACACUGAGGUGCGAAAGCGUGGGUAGCAAACAGGAUUAGAUACCCCAGUAGUC
rnacentral:rRNA from 1 species